rnacentral:lncRNA from 1 species
AUACAUUCUAUCAACUAGUGAACCCCAAAUGAAAUAACAUGAUACAAAACUGGCUUGUUAUAAGAAAUGACAAAAAGAAUCCAAACUAGCAAACAUCACAAUUACAAUUUUUUUGGAGAGCUUGACUCCGAAUUAUUUUGGAGGUAUGGUUCGGUCCUUCUUGUGUUCCACCAUUCUGAUGAAAUACAACACAUUUAGGCGAUAGCCUAUUAAUUUUUUUUUAAAAAUCACACUUACAAUUGAAAAUAAAC